rnacentral:rRNA from 1 species
UACAGAGGGUGCGAGCGUUGUUCGGAUUCACUGGGCGUAAAGGGUGCGUAGGUGGUGAGGUAAGUCGGAUGUGAAAGCUCGGAGCUCAACUCCGAAAUGGCAUUGGAAACUACCUUGCUCGAGGGUUGGAGGGGGGACUGGAAUGCUUGGUGUAGCAGUGAAAUGCGUAGAUAUCAAGCGGAACACCAGUGGCGAAGGCGAGUCCCUGGACAACUCCUGACACUGAGGCACGAAAGCUAGGGGAGCAAACAGG